CCGAAUAAUAUCAUCUGUCGAUAGGCAGUUGAUCAAAUGAUUUAUCGGUGUGGGAGCGGCCUAUCUCCUAUCAGCUUGUUGGUGAGGUAAGAGCUCACCAAGGCGACGACGGGUAGCGGGACUGAGAGGUUGGCCCGCAACAUCGGGACUGAGACACUGCCCGGACCUCCACGGAGGGCUGCAGUAACGAAUAUUGCGCAAUGGGCGAAAGCCUGACGCAGCGACGCCGCGUGUAGGAGGAAGUCCUUCGGGAUGUAAACUACUGUCAGGGGGAAGAAAGUGCGCUUCGGCGUAUUGAUCUAACCCAGAGGAAGUCACGGCUAACUUCGUGCCAGCAGCCGCGGUAAGACGAAGGUGGCAAGCGUUGUUCGGUAUUACUGGGCUUAAAGCGUGUGUAGGCGGAAUCAUUAGCGUCCUGUGAAAUCCCCCGGCUUAACCGGGGAAUUGUGGGGCGAACUGUGAUUCUUGAGGCAAGUAGGGGUGCAUGGAACUCUUGGUGGAGCGGUGGAAUGCGUAGAUAUCAAGAGGAACGCCAGUGGUGAAGACGGUGCACUGGGCUUGUCCUGACGCUGAGACACGAAAGCGUGGGGAGCGAACGGGAUUAGAUACCCCGGUAGUCCACGCUGUAAACGAUGCCUACUAGGUCGUGGUGGUUCUGACACCAGCACGGCCGAAGCAAAAGUGUUAAGUAGGCCGCCUGGGGAGUACGGUCGCAAGGCUAAAACUCAAAGGAAUUGACGGGGGCUCACACAAGCGGUGGAGCAUGUGGAUUAAUUCGAAUCAACGCGCAGAACCUUACCUGGGUUUGACAUGCUUGGAUGCCCGCCUGGAAACAGGUUGGGCUGCCCUUCGGGGUGAAACUUGCACAGGUGCUGCAUGGCUGUCGUCAGCUCGUGUCGUGAGAUGUCGGGUUAAGUCCUUUAACGAGCGAAACCCUUGCCGUUAGUUGCCAGCGGGUCAUGCCGGGGACUCUAGCGGGACUGCCGGUGUUAAACCGGAGGAAGGUGGGGAUGACGUCAAGUCAUCAUGGCCUUUAUGCCCAGGGCCUCACACGUGCUACAAUGGCGGAUACAGAGCGAAGCAAGACCGCGAGGUGGAGCAAAUCGCAAAAAGUCCGCCCCAGUUCGGAUUGCAGGCUGUCAACUCGCCUGCAUGAAGGUGGAAUCGUUAGUAAUCGCAUAUCAGCUAUGACGCGGUGAAUGUG
rnacentral:rRNA from 1 species